UACAUGGGGUGCAAACGUUGCUCGGAAUUAUUGGGCGUAAAGCGCACGUAGGUGGUCUGUUAUGUCAGAUGUGAAAGCCCUCGGCUUAACUGAGGAAGUGCACCUGAAACUGGCAGGCUUGAGUACGAAAGAGGGUCGCGGAAUUCCCGGUGUAGAGGUGAAAUUCGUAGAUAUUCGCAAGAACACCAGUGGCGAAGGCGGCUCACUGGCCCGGAACUGACGCUGAGGUGCGAAAGCGUGGGGAGCAAACAGG
rnacentral:rRNA from 1 species